rnacentral:rRNA from 1 species
UUACGAUUUGAUGCAAGGUUAAGCAGUGAAUGUGGAGCCGUAGCGAAAGCGAGUCUGAAUAGGGCGUUGAGUAUUUGGUCGUAGACCCGAAACCAGGUGAUCUACCCUUGACCAGGUUGAAAUUGAGGAUAAAAUACAU